GCUUAAUCAAACCUAUACUGCGCAUGUAUAUAUAAACACAGGGUCAAGUGACCCAAACCCAAAACUCCCUUGACCAACUCUAUGGGAGAUUAGGUUAACCCAAGCUCAUGUACACCCAUGAUUCGACCUAAUCUCACCUAUCCUGAGCCCAUACCUGGCCCAUAAAGAGUUGGUCCCUUGAGGCCCACAUAACCUAGACCUCAAGAACCCGAAAGGCCCACAGCCUUUCAACCUAGGGCCCAACUAGCCCUAGAGCCUCCAUGAAGCCCUCAUGAAUGAUGGACCUUGGCCUUAGCCUUGGUUCCCUGGGCCUUGGGCACACCACCUGGAUCACAACACACAUUUUCUCAUGUUUUGGAGAGUCCUUCUCCCGAUCAAACUCAUUCAAAUUGAAAUGCCUUUUUUUAAUAACAUUUCACAUUUGAUCAGCUAUUUUUAUUAAUUUUUUUGAAAUUUUUUCAGACUUAUCUAAAUACUUAUCGGAUGCCAAAUGCACAUCUAUGCAUGUGCAUGCGAUGA
rnacentral:lncRNA from 1 species